rnacentral:rRNA from 1 species
CCCUUAGAUGUUCUGGGCCGCACGCGCGCUACACUGAUCGUUUCAACAAGUUUUCCCGCCCUCGUGGUGGGAGUCCUUGGCCGGAAGGUCCGGGUAAUCUUUUGAAUGGCGAUCGCGAUGGGGCUAGAUCUUUGCAAUUAUUGAUCUCCAACGAGGAAUUCCUAGUAAACGCGAGUCAUCAGCUCGCAUUGAUUACGUCCCUGCCCUUUGUACACACCGCCCGUCGCACCUACCGAUUGAAUGUUCCGGUGAGACCUUCGGAUUCGACGAUGUGGUUGAAAGAUUGUGUCGUUGAAAAAGUUGAGCAAACCUUAACAUUUAGAGGAAGGUGAAGUCGUAACA